CGGACGGGUGAGUAACACGUGGGUAACCUGCCCGGAAGUGGGGAAUACCUCGGGGAAACUCGAGCUAAUACCGCAUAACAUCUUCGGGACGAAAGUCCUGGCGAUCAAAGCGGGGUCGCAAGAUCUCGCGCUACCGGAUGGGCCCGCGCCCGAUUAGCUAGUUGGUGAGGUAACGGCUCACCAAGGCUUCGAUCGGUAACCGGCCUGAGAGGGCGAUCGGUCACACCGGAACUGAGACACGGUCCGG
rnacentral:rRNA from 1 species